CAGGUGUCAUUGCUGCCCUAGGCGUGUGAAGGAACAGAGUCAAGCGGGUAUCCUCCUGGCAGCCUGUUGAGUCGCGUCAAGAUUUCAGGUACCGUGAGGAGGCGCAUAGC